GAUGAAGAACGUAGUGAAAUGCGAUAAGUAAUGUGAAUUGCAGAAUUCAGUGAACCAUCGAAUCUUUGAACGCACAUUGCGCCCGCUAGUAUUCUGGCGGGCAUGCCUGUCCGAGCGUCAUUUCAACCCUCAAGCCCCCGGGCUUGGUGUUGGGGAUCGGCGAGCCUCCGCGCCCGCCGUCCCCUAAAUCUAGUGGCGGUCUCGCUGUAGCUUCCUCUGCGUAGUAGCACACCUCGCACUGGGAAACAGCGCGGCCACGCCGUUAAACCCCCAACUUCUGAACGUUUGACCUCGGAUCAGGUAGGAAUACCCGCUGAACUUAAGCAUAUCAAUAAGCGGAGGA
rnacentral:misc_RNA from 1 species